UACGGAGGGUGCGAGCGUUGUUCGGAAUUACUGGGCGUAAAGCGUGCGCAGGCGGCGCGUUAAGACAGGUGUGAAAGCCCCGAGCUUAACUUGGGAAUUGCGCUUGUGACUGGCGUGCUGGAGUGUGGCAGAGGGAGGUGGAAUUCCACGUGUAGCAGUGAAAUGCGUAGAGAUGUGGAGGAACACCGAUGGCGAAGGCAGCCUCCUGGGCCAGCACUGACGCUCAUGCACGAAAGCGUGGGGAGCAAACAGG
rnacentral:rRNA from 1 species